rnacentral:rRNA from 1 species
GACGAACGCUGGCGGCGUGCCUAAUACAUGCAAGUAGAACGCUGAAGCUUGGUGCUUGCACCGAGCGGGUGAGUUGCGAACGGGUGAGUAACGCGUAGGUAACCUGCCUGGUAGCGGGGGAUAACUAUUGGAAACGAUAGCUAAUACCGCAUAACAGUAGAUAUCGCAUGAUAGCUACUUGAAAGGUGCAAAUGCACCACUACCAGAUGGACCUCCGUUGUAUUAGCUAGUUGGUGAGGGAACGGCUCACCAAGGCAACGAUACAUAGCCGACCUGGGAGGGUGAUCGGCCAAACUGGGACUGGGACACGGCCCAGACUCCUACGGGAGGCAGCAGUAGGGAAUCUUCGGGAAUGGACGGAAGGCUGACCGAGCAACGCCGCGUGAGUGAAGAAGGGUUUCGGAUCGGAAAGCUCUGUUGUAAGGGAAGAACGAGUGUGGGAGUGGAAAGUUCACACUGUGACGGUAUCUUACCAGAAAGGGACGGCUAACUACGUG